AUAGAACGCUGGCGGCAGGCCUAACACAUGCAAGUCGAACGGUAGCACAGAGAGCUUGCUCUCGGGUGACGAGUGGCGGACGGGUGAGUAACGUCUGGGAAACUGCCCGAUGGAGGGGGAUAACUACUGGAAACGGUAGCUAAUACCGCAUAACGCCGCAAGACCAAAGUGGGGGACCUUCGGGCCUCACACCAUCGGAUGUGCCCAGAUGGGAUUAGCUAGUAGGUGGGGUAAUGGCUCACCUAGGCGACGAUCCCUAGCUGGUCUGAGAGGAUGACCAGCCACACUGGAACUGAGACACGGUCCAGACUCCUACGGGAGGCAGCAGUGGGGAAUAUUGCACAAUGGGCGCAAGCCUGAUGCAGCCAUGCCGCGUGUAUGAAGAAGGCCUUCGGGUUGUAAAGUACUUUCAGCGGGGAGGAAGGCGGUGAAGUUAAUAGCUUCACCGAUUGACGUUACCCGCAGAAGAAGCACCGGCUAACUCCGUGCCAGCCGCCGCGGUAA
rnacentral:rRNA from 1 species